rnacentral:rRNA from 1 species
GGAUUCCCCUAGUAGCGGCGAGCGAAGCGGGAAGAGCUCAAAUUUAUAAUCUGGCACCUUCGGUGUCCGAGUUGUAAUCUCUAGAAAUGUUUUCCGCGUUGGACCGCACACAAGUCUGUUGGAAUACAGCGGCAUAGUGGUGAGACCCCCGUAUAUGGUGCGGACGCCCAGCGCUUUGUGAUACAUUUUCGAAGAGUCGAGUUGUUUGGGAAUGCAGCUCAAAUUGGGUGGUAAAUUCCAUCUAAAGCUAAAUAUUGGCGAGAGACCGAUAGCGAACAAGUACCGUGAGGGAAAGAUGAAAAGCACUUUGGAAAGAGAGUUAACAGUACGUGAAAUUGUUGGAAGGGAAACGCUUGAAGUCAGACUUGCUUGCCGAGCAAUCGGUUUGCAGGCCAGCAUCAGUUUUCCGGGAUGGAUAAUGGUAGAGAGAAGGUAGCAGUUUC